GGCCUUGCUCUUAUGUCAUCUGACUAAAAGUUUCAUAGACCAAAGAUAACCAUCCAACCUGUUGGAAUACUGAAACAAUUGCUGCCUGCUUUCCACACACUACAUAAAAUAUGUGGAUAUCCUAAAUUCUACAAAAAAGAUUUGCAAGCAGAUCAAGCAAUACUGGGACUCCCUCUUCUCCAGAAGAGACAUCCUGGCCUCCAUGCAGAGGAAUGUGUGGAUGGAAAUAUAUUUAAGGAAGACACUAAACCAGAAAAUACUACAUUACACCCUCUUAAAAGACUUCUAAGAUUGUUGUCAUGCCUACCACUGACAUUCAGAUGAUGUGUAUUCUUGAUUGUGAUUUCAUGUUUGGAGCUGAUGAAGGAGUUUGAAGUCUCCAGAGCAGCAAGGAGAGUGGGGAGUAGAACUCAUCAUCUUUAGGUCACUCAUCCCCG
rnacentral:lncRNA from 1 species